UAGGGAAUAUUGGACAAUGGGGGCAACCCUGAUCCAGCCAUGCCGCGUGAGUGAAGAAGGCCCUCGGGUUGUAAAGCUCUUUUGUCCGGAAAGAAAAGCUUCGGGUUACUACCCCGGGGUUCUGACGGUACCGGAAGAAUAAGCACCGGCUAACUUCGUGCCAGCAGCCGCGGUAAUACGAAGGGUGCAAGCGUUACUCGGAAUUACUGGGCGUAAAGCGUGCGUCGGUGGUUGUUUAAGUCUGAUGUGAAAGCCCUGGGCUCAACCUGGGAGUGGCAGUGGAAACUGGGCAGCUAGAGUGCGGUAGAGGGUAGUGGAAUUCCCGGUGUAGCAGUGAAAUUCGUAGAGAUCGGGAGGAACAUCUGUGGCGAAUGCGACUGCCUGGACCAGCACUGAAACUGAGGCACGAAAGCGUGGGGAGCAAACA
rnacentral:rRNA from 1 species